AUUCAGCUGACGAGUCCCAAAUAGGACGAAACACGCGUCAAACUGGAU
rfam:Schistosoma rodhaini strain Burundi genome assembly, scaffold: SROB_scaffold0000716